CAGAGCGUGGCGCAGUUGGUAGCGCGCUGCUAUGGGGUAGCAGAGGUCGCUGGUUCAAAUCCAGUCGCUCUGA
rfam:Microgenomates (Woesebacteria) bacterium GW2011_GWA2_33_28 TR38_C0003, whole genome shotgun sequence.